rfam:Ovis aries atrial natriuretic peptide (ANP) gene, complete cds.
UUACAAAAGGAAAAUGGAAAGGGAGAAGUCUCGCUGCCUGGCCCAAUGUCACAACCCCCUCACCCCAGACCAUGCCGCUUU